UGCCUGAUGGAGGGGGAUAACUACUGGAAACGGUAGCUAAUACCGCAUAACGUCGCAAGACCAAAGAGGGGGACCUUCGGGCCUCUUGCCAUCGGAUGUGCCCAGAUGGGAUUAGCUUGUUGGUGGGGUAACGGCUCACCAAGGCGACGAUCCCUAGCUGGUCUGAGAGGAUGACCAGCCACACUGGAACUGAGACACGGUCCAGACUCCUACGGGAGGCAGCAGUGGGGAAUAUUGCACAAUGGGCGCAAGCCUGAUGCAGCCAUGCCGCGUGUAUGAAGAAGGCCUUCGGGUUGUAAAGUACUUUCAGCGGGGAGGAAGGGAGUAAAGUUAAUACCUUUGCUCAUUGACGUUACCCGCAGAAGAAGCACCGGCUAACUCCGUGCCAGCAGCCGCGGUAAUACGGAGGGUGCAAGCGUUAAUCGGAAUUACUGGGCGUAAAGCGCACGCAGGCGGUUUGUUAAGUCAGAUGUGAA
rnacentral:rRNA from 1 species